rnacentral:rRNA from 1 species
GGACCCGCACAAGUAGUGGAGCAUGUGGUUUAAUUCGAAGAUACGCGCAGAACCUUACCAACACUUGACAUGUUCGUCGCGACUCUAAGAGAUUAGAGUUUUCGGUUCGGCCGGACGAAACACAGGUGCUGCAUGGCUGUCGUCAGCUCGUGUCGUGAGAUGUUGGGUUAAGUCCCGCAACGAGCGCAACCCUCACUUUUAGUUGCCAUCAUUAAGUUGGGCACUCUGAAAGAACUGCCAGUGAUAAGCUGGAGGAAGGUGGGGAUGACGUCAAAUCAUCACGGCCCUUACGUCCUGGGCCACACACGUGCUACAAUGGUUGGUACAGAGGGCAGCUACCGGGUGACCGGAUGCG